CAUAUCAUUUAUCCCUUCUUUUUCUGGCUCUCACGCUCUUUUCUCUGUUUAAAAUUUUGAAAUCUUUCCUCUCUAUAAAAUGUUUCCUUUCUCUCAAGCAUCUCUUGCACUCUCUAUUUUCACCUUCGCACAAUGUAAAAACCUAGAACUAAUUCUUGCCGUCGGCGUCACCGCCAUUUUCCUCCACUACCAUCACCGUCAUAUGCAUCCCUAACAACUAUUCAAGCUCAGGAUCUAAAAAGCUAAACUCUGGUGAACAAUACUACUGUUAUCGUCACAGCACCAUGCUUGCACCGCUACAUAUUUCACCGACCACUGCUAUCAUCUCUGCCAUCCGCACCAAACCUUCUCUCUACCUUUAUUUCGACCCCCUUGAAAGAUCUUUUAUCUAUUGAUUUUCAUAUUUUAUAUAUGUGAUUGUAGGAUCGUUGAUGCUUUGAUUUCGUACUCCAGAUCUAAAAAUGUCUGACAUUAUUAUGUUGGUAAAUAUGAACAUCGCUCAUUGGCCUCCUGCAGAUUACCCAAGAUCUUGGAAAGCAUUUAUAUUAGAUUUUGAAUUUUUUAUUUCAGAUCUAUGAUAUGAAUAUGAUAUAUUUUGUUUUUUUUUCGUAUUUCAGAUUUGCAGAUAUGUGAUCUUCGAGAUUUUGAUUUUGUAUUUCGGGUCUUGAACUUUUACUUUAUGAUUUUUGUAUUUCAGAUCUUGAAAUGUAAAGCAAAUGCAUAGCUAGCAAUAAUUUGAAGUUGCAGGUAUGAUGGGGGAUUUCUUGUCGAGUUUCAUAAGUCUUCCUUUAAAUUGGGUUAAUGUGAAACAAAGCAUAACUGUCACACAGUUUGGAAGCUACUUAGGGCGAACCGAGAAGAAGCAGAUACACAAUUAAAACCCAAGGGACUAACUAAAGCGUUUAGCCAACAGUCAACUAUGGUGGACAAAUAGACGAGGAUUACAGGGGGCUGAGCACCGGGCAGCCACGAUACUCCCUCUGUCACCGGGUAAUGAACACCACCUCCUAGGUGCGGUUUAGACCAUAGUGUGCUAAAAGAUGGUUGCGUUUUGUUAUUGGUGGAGAGAAUUUGACCGUUUUGUGAUUGGUUGGGGAGAAAAUUAAAGUUUUUAUUUAAAUUAAUUUUUUUUUAAAUAAACUAUUUUACCA